rnacentral:rRNA from 1 species
GUCCACGCCGUAAACGAUGAAUACUAGGUGUCGCGGGUAUUGACCCCUGCGGUGCCGACGCUAACGCAUUAAGUAUUCCGCCUGGGAAGUACGGCCGCAAGGCUAAAACUCAAAGGAAUUGACGGGGGCCCGCACAAGCGGUGGAGUAUGUGGUUUAAUUCGACGCAACGCGAAGAACCUUACCCAGACUUGACAUUGAUGAAAUCCUGCAGAAAUGUGGGAGUACCCUUCGGGGAUCUGAAAACAGGUGCUGCAUGGCUGUCGU